GGUAGGGUGGCCGAGCGGUUGAAGGCGCCAGACUUGAAAUCUGGUUUGGGCUUAUGCCCAACGCGAGUUCGAAUCUCGCCCCUACCG
rnacentral:tRNA from 1 species